UUACGGCCAUAUCACGGUGAAACACUGAUUUUCGACCGAUCAUCGAAGUUAAGCAACAUUGAGCCAGGUCAGUAUGUAGAUGGGCGACCGUUUGGGAAUACUAGGUGC